GACGAACGCUGGCGGCGUGCUUAACACAUGCAAGUCGAACGGGAUUUAGUAGACAGAAGCCUCGGCUAAAGAUUACUAAUGAGAGUGGCGAACGGGUGAGUAACGCGUGAGCAACCUGCCUAUGACAGUGGGAUAGCCUCGGGAAACCGGGAUUAAUACCGCAUAAAAUCGUAGAAACACAUGUUUCAACGGUCAAAGAUUUAUCGGUCAUAGAUGGGCUCGCGUCUGAUUAGCUAGUUGGUGAGAUAACAGCCCACCAAGGCGACGAUCAGUAGCCGGUCUGAGAGGAUGAACGGCCACAUUGGAACUGGGACACGGUCCAAACUCCUACGGGAGGCAGCAGUGGGGAAUAUUGCACAAUGGGGGAAACCCUGAUGCAGCGACGCCGCGUGAACGAAGAAGGUAUUCGUAUCGUAAAGUUCUGUCCUAUGGGAAGAUAAUGACAGUACCAUAGAAGAAAGCUCCGGCUAAAUACGUG
rnacentral:rRNA from 1 species